rnacentral:rRNA from 1 species
AAUGAACGUUGGCGGCGUGGAUUAGGCAUGCAAGUCGCGCGAGAAGUCAUUUAGCUUGCUAAAAGACGGACAGCGGCGGAAGGGAGAGUAACGCGUGGUUAUGUACCCUCGAGACCGAGAUAGUGUCGGGAAACUGGCAGUAAUACCGGAUAACAUCUUCGGAUCAAAUGGUGUGAUUCCGCUCGAGGAUUGGACCGCGUACUAUUAGCUAGUUGGAGGGGUAAUGGCCCACCAAGGCUUAGAUGGUUACCGGGUGUGAGAGCAUGGCCCGGCUCACUGGGACUGAGACACUGCCCAGACAUCUACGGAUGGCUGCAGUCGAGAAUCUUCGGCAAUGGACGAAAGUCUGACCGAGCGACGCCGCGUGCGGGAUGAAGGCCUUCGGGUUGUAAACCGCUGUCAGUUAGGAGGAAAUCCAUGAGGGUUCUCUCUCAUGGUUGACCGAUUUUCAGAGGAAGGACGGGCUAAGUUCGUGCCAGCCGCCGCGGUAAAAC